rnacentral:rRNA from 1 species
GAUGAACGCUGGCGGCGUGCCUAAUACAUGCAAGUCGAGCGAACAGACGAGGAGCUUGCUCCUCUGACGUUAGCGGCGGACGGGUGAGUAACACGUGUAUAACCUACCUAUAAGACUGGGAUAACUUCGGGAAACCGGAGCUAAUACCGGAUAAUAUAUUGAACCGCAUGGUUCAUUAGUGAAAGACGGUUUUGCUGUCACUUAUAGAUGGAUCCGCGCCGCAUUAGCUAGUUGGUAAGGUAACGGCUUACCAAGGCAACGAUGCGUAGCCGACCUGAGAGGGUGAUCGGCCACACUGGAACUGAGACACGGUCCAGACUCCUACGGGAGGCAGCAGUAGGGAAUCUUCGGCAAUGGGCGAAAGCUUGACGGAGCAACGCCGCGUGAGUGAUGAAGGUCUUCGGAUCGUAAAACUCUGUUAUUAGGGAAGAACAAAUGUGUAAGUAACUAUGCCCGUCUUGACGGUACCUAAUCAGAAAGCCACGGCUAACUACGUG